UACGUAGGGUGCGAGCGUUAAUCGGAAUUACUGGGCGUAAAGCGUGCGCAGGCGGUCGUUCAAGUCGAGUGUGAAAGCCCCCGGCUCAACUGGGGAGGGUCAUUCGAUACUGAUCGACUCGAAGGCAGGAGAGGGUAGUGGAAUUCCCGGUGUAGUGGUGAAAUGCGUAGAUAUCGGGAGGAACACCAGUGGCGAAGGCGACUACCUGGCCUGUUCUUGACGCUGAGGCGCGAAAGCUAGGGGAGCAAACGGG
rnacentral:rRNA from 1 species